rnacentral:rRNA from 1 species
AACGAACGCUGGCGGCAUGCCUAACACAUGCAAGUCGAACGAGACCUUCGGGUCUAGUGGCGCACGGGUGCGUAACGCGUGGGAACCUGCCCUUAGGUUCGGAAUAACUCCCCGAAAGGGGUGCUAAUACCGGAUAAUGUCUUCGGACCAAAGAUUUAUCGCCUUUGGAUGGGCCCGCGUUGGAUUAGCUAGUUGGUAGGGUAAAAGCCUACCAAGGCGACGAUCCAUAGCUGGUCUGAGAGGAUGAUCAGCCACACUGGGACUGAGACACGGCCCAGACUCCGACGGGAGGCAGCAGGGGGGAAUAUUGGACAAUGGGCGAAAGCCUGAGCCAGCAAUGCCGCGUGAAUGAUGAAGGCCUUAGGGUUGUAAAGCUCUUUUACCCGGGAUGAUAAUGACAGUACCGGGAGAAUAAGCGCCGGCUAACUCCGUG